rnacentral:rRNA from 1 species
GUGGGGAAUAUUGGACAAUGGGCGAAAGCCUGAUCCAGCCAUGCCGCGUGUGUGAAGAAGGUCUUCGGAUUGUAAAGCACUUUAAGUUGGGAGGAAGGGCAGUAAGUUAAUACCUUGCUGUUUUGACGUUACCGACAGAAUAAGCACCGGCUAACUUCGUGCCAGCAGCCGCGGUAAUACGAAGGGUGCAAGCGUUAAUCGGAAUUACUGGGCGUAAAGCGCGCGUAGGUGGUUUUGUAAGUUGGAGGUGAAAUCCCCGGGCUCAACCUGGGAACUGCCUCCAAAACUGCAUGACUAGAGGACGGUAGAGGGUAUGGGAAUUUCCUGUGUAGCGGUGAAAUGCGUAGAUAUAGGAAGGAACACCAGUGGCGAAGGCGACUACCUGGACUGAUACUGACACUGAGGUGCGAAAGCGUGGGGAGCAAACAGGAUUAGAAACCCUAGUAGUCC